AAGAAUAGGAAAGCUAGUUAAGAGGGAGAAAUAAAAAAAACAGUACAGGUGUUUUUCUAGCCAUGCAGAAAUUUUCUUUGUAGAAGAAUUUAAAACUCUAGGUGUGUCUCUGAUUAAGUGGGAUUUUAAUUAGAGAAGAUCAAGACCGUUUUGUAAGUCAAGGCGGAUAGCGCAUCAGAGCUGAAGGGACCUUGAAAAACCUCAGGCCCAGCCUCUGGGUCAGAAGGAGGAGUCUAAGCCAGUCGGUGGGACGGGCAACUGUCUUCCUUUGAACUCCAGGGAGGGAAACGCUACACUUUCAUAGUCCAAUGCAUUUUUCUUAAGUCACUGUGGUGGUUAGGAACGUCUUCCCUGGACCUAAAAGUCCCUCCCAUGACAUUUCUGUGGUCACUUGGUUACUGAGGACUCACACACAAGGAUGAGGACAAUCCACUGUCCACUCCACGGUGAGCAGAGAGCUUGAAGGUUUCUAGGGAAGAACAUAGCUAGGUCGGCCAUCAGAGUUGGACAUUUCUGAGCAGUACAGCUAGGAAAAUUAUGGCUGCGUUAGGAGACACUGGGGAAUUCCUGAGUCUCAGAUUCAGGAUGAGAAGGGCCCUGAAAGUUAAAAAAUUGAUGUAUAGUGCUUUUCUUCAUUUUACAGAUGAUUAAACAUGCUCAGAGAGGUUAGGCACUUGCCUAAGGUCACACAGCUAUUGAAUUGUGGAGCUAGGAUUUGAAUCCAGCUACAAACUUAGUUGUCAUUCGGGUCUUUCAAAAAAGUCAAAAUUGUGUACACUGCAAACAGACACAGAGCCUCAAAGGGUGACUGCAUGCAAACUACCUGGAGAUCUUGCUGAAAUGCAGCUUCUGACUCAGCAAGUCCGCGGUAGGACCAGAGACGAUGCCUUUCUGACAAGCCUCUAGGUGAUACUGAUGCUGCUGGUUCGCUGACCACAAUCUGAGCGGUAAGGACUCAAGAGACCUGUUAAUCACCUCACUGCUCACUCCUCAGGCUGCCUGGUUCUCCUGGGAAUGAAGAUUCACCAAGUGGUCACAUGAUCACUUUGAGAUGGGGGCUAUGAAUAUACAUUCACUCCCAAUUCUUCUCAGCCCUGAAGGAGGAAGCAUCAGCUGGUUGCUCAAAGAGGAUCAGUUGAGGCUUCGAGGCGGGGGAGCUGGACAGAUCACAGCGUUUUACUCGGAGAUAAGGGAAAUAGGAGGACUUGGGUGCAAUUUCUCUGGUCCCAAGACAGGCGCUUCUCCUGGAGACCAGCAGGGGGCGCACAAAGGGCGGAGACCGAGGGGAGGAGCCGCGGAACUGCGCCCCAGGGAGAGGCUGAGCUGGGGGCGGUGGAGGCCGGGAGCUGCUGGGAACUGAGCUGCGCGGAUAAGUUCCUAUUGCUUGCUUACGUGAGAGAGCACUCAGGUGCUCCUGGCAGGCCGGCCCUUCCUAAAGCAGAGGCAGAGGAGCUCACCACUGGAUUUCAAACCAGAACUGUGCUGUCGUUUCUUCUGGAGCAUGCACUUUAGAAGGAAUUAUCCACCCCCAUCCCCAAGCACCCUUUGAAGCUCUGUAUCUGUUUUGCAGUGUACACAAUUUUGACUUUUUUUGAAAGAUCCGAAUGGCAACUAAGUCUGUAGCUGGAUUCAAAUCCUAGCUCCACAAUUCAAUAGCUGUGUGACCUUGAGCAAGUGCUUAACCACUCUGAGCAUGUUUAAUCAUCUGUACAACAGCAACAAUAACAGUUUCUACUUCCCCCAGGGAAGCAUCAUUGGUGGCUUCUGAGGACACCCCAGUGCCUGAACCAGCAAAUCCAGUUAUUAAUGCGUAAUCCUUUCAUAUUUCUUGCUUACUUAAGCAGACGGACAUCAUUUAUCCAACCAUGCCUCACUGGAAAUGGAUUCCUUUUAGAAACCGCUGAAGGGGAACAGAAGGAAACAAUUUCUCAAUACACUGGGGUGGUUUGGUCUUUCUCUUUCCUGCACUCGUCAGAGAUUAUGUAAAAACUUCCUGUUUUCUUUAACAUCUUCAGGGGGCGGUCCCCCAAACCAUGAAACAACAAAACCAGCAGCAUCCAGAGGCGUUGAUGCUCUGAAGACAGUAUGUGGAAAACCCAAAUGGUUUAGGUGCAGAAUGGCUGCUCUUCAUCCCCGCAUUAUGAACUACUGAGCACGCAGUUUUAAAGCAUCUGAUUGAAAGAAAAAUUCCAUCCGAGCGAUUAUUAAAAACUAACAACUAGCAUGACACAUUUAAAAUCUCUGGGAAAAGACAGCGCGCCAAGGAACUGAACAUGUCUACCUGUCUUCCCGUUCAGGCAGCACCAAUAUUCUCAACUAGAAAAUUAACAUCAGAGGCUCUGACAGGGUCCCUGAAGGCAACUCAGCUAAACCUGGCAUGUUGAUGGGCAACUCCAAGGUCAGGAGCCAGAGCAGGAGAGCACUGAGAAGUCUGAUAUUGCAUCCCCUGAAAAUCAUGACACAGACAAUCUGCUAAGAGCAGCGAUAAUCAUUUGGAUUGUGAUGUGAAUUGGAAGCAGUUGGGGGAGGCACGGGAAAAGAAACCUUAUUAAACUCUUAUCCGUUAGACACAGAGAAUGGAAAUGUGAAGAGAUAUGAUGAAACACUUGAGAACUGUCCUGAGAGGAUGUGGAGUCUGUGCUGGGUUAGCAAAAGCAUGGAGAACACGCCUCCACCCCCACCUCCGGACCCCGGGGAAGGUGAGGGAAGGGGGACGGAGAGAGUCAGGCCAGAAGGAGGGGGUCCUGUGUCUCCAGGCCUGCCAGGGGCAGAGGAGGAAAGAUGAUUUUGUUGGCAGUGCCCCAGGGGCUGUGAGCCGGGCUAGGCGGGGCUGGGAACCAGACCUCUGCUGGAAACACAUGUUCCUGCUAUGUGUCCAGCAUCUUGGACCCCCAGGGAGGUUCAUGGAGUGUGGAAGCUGCCCUGGGCAGGGCUGCCCAGGGUGGCUGUGCUCCAGUCUGAGUGGGGAUGGAGUCAUCAAGACAUUUGGCUCCAACCUGCUGUUGGUGGUAACUUCCAAGAUGCAUGAGAUCACGGCAAAAACACUGGGCUGGGUGAGGGGGAACCUGGGUUCCCAUUGUCCUCCGAUCACCCCUUGGGCAUCCUUGUUGAGUUUAACUUCCCUUGUGUUGUUUCUGCACGCGUACCAUGGCGAGGGUGAAGUGGGAGCAUUUUCGUAUGCUGUAAACUCUAAAAUGAUCUAAUGAAACUUGCUGAGCUCAUGACAGCAAUCACAGACCAGGGCACGAUCUUCCCUGGAGUGGAACGUUCACUCUCCCUUUUGGCCAAUUAAUGAGUCUUGGUGGAAAACAAUGUUAUGAAUGUACCCAUAAAAUGAAUAAAUAAAAUGGACACACACACAUCCUGGCCUUAAAUACCAACUUUUUCCUCCCUAAGAAUUUACUCUCAGAGGGGAUUGCUUCUGUGGCUGGAUAAUAUUUUGAGAUUACAAAACUUUUUUCACUCCUUGUAUUUCCGCCUCUCCCUGCCCACCUCCAGCCCUCAGGCAGUCUCCCAACAUCACUGCCCCAGGCCAGGUAUGUGGCAGGAGUGUACCCAGAAAUAGCUUGCAAGUUCUUCUGGCUUUGAUUUCUCAAAAAGGCCCUUAGGUUGAAGACACAGAGGCUUUUCUGGGAGGAAAAGAGAGGAGGGGGGGUUGGCGGGGAGAAGCAGAGAGGCUUAGAAUAAACAGGAAGGGUUUUAAAAUAGGUCUGUGGGCCCCAGAAGGACAGGACGGUAGCAAGACUCCAGAGAGCUGGCUGUGUGGUCAAGAAGCAGCAGAGACUGGCCAGGGAGUGGGGACAUGCUCAGUGGUAACCUGUGUGGACCAGCCUGGUGAGCGGGAUCUCUGGGAUCCCUGCCCCCAGGUCUGGGCAACGCAUAAGAUCCGGAAAUUGUGACGCAACCCUGGGGUAGUUUCUGCUCCCACCAGUCUGGUGAGAUGAAGCCUUCAAACAAAUAUUAAGUUGAUAUCUAGGAAAUGAAAGGAGAGGCAGUAUUUCUUGCACGCCUGAGCGUGUUAGAGAUUCAUACUUGCUAUCCUUUAGUUUUGCAUGUUGGGAAAGAAAAUAAAGUUAGCCUUGGAAUUAUCUAGAACCAGAGGAGUCUCUGACAAAGACAAGGGGGAAUCUCAGAUCAGAGAAAUUCAAGGCUGAAAGCGGAUUUAGAUCUUGCCUUUAUUAUGGGUGGCUGAGGUUCAAAUGCCGGCUCAGUUUCCCAGUCAACAAAAUGGAGUAGUGAUGAAGAUUAAAUGAGAUCGGACAUGUAGCUCAUAUUUUUGGGUCCCUUGUGAUGGCUUGCACGUGGUCGAUUUGUGGACUAUUAAAUUAUUUAUUGACUAUUAAAGCUAGUCUAAUGCACGACGAAGCUGGGUCCAGAGAGAUAACUGGUUUGGUGCCCAUGGACAAGUCAUGCCGUCAGCAGAGCCAGGACUAUGAAUCUUGUAAUAGGGUCAGGAACGUCUCCUUCAAUCUAUGGGCAAGUAUGAAUGUGCUUCUCUUGAAUUACUGGAGUCGUUUAAGCGCCUGGACCCUGAAGCCCCACAUGUCCAGUCUGAAUCCUGGCUCACCACUCAUCACUGUGAUAUCAGCCCUGACAUCACCUGUACUCAAAGCAUGUAUUUCAGCAGAUACCCCCCCCUUGAAUGUCCUAAUAUAACUUCAGAUGCAAUAUGCCCCAUGGUGACUUCAUAAUAUUUGGAAUUUUGAAAAUCCUCCAGAAAACAGAAACAUGGCACUCAGAAGCAUGUAAGUGGACCUCUCCCUGGCCCAGGGACCCAACUCUCGUGUGGCACCACCUCCACCUGCCUCGCAGGUCAUAAGCCAACCUUCUCCUUUACUUUCUUUGUAUAACUAAUCACCAAAUCCCAUUUAUUUCCCUUUCCAUAUGUCUCUAGAGUUGUCCUUCCUCUUACAUUUUCAUCACCCUGGUCCCGCCUUCCAUCCAAUACAUGUUUAUUGGGCACCAUCUCCCAGGAACGAUGUUAGCCAAGGAUGGGGAAUGAUGUUCAUCAAGGAUGAGCCCAACCACUGCCUUCAGGGAGCUAACAGCCAUGAGCAGGGAGGCAGCCACCACAGGGCUUGAUGCUGUCAGAUGAUGUGCCCGCGAUGCAGUGGAGCACAGAGGAGGAUGCGAAAAGCCAGCCCCAGGGAACUUCUUCUCCCAGAGGACAAAGACACUGAGUCCUAAGGACCAGGAGGAGUAAGCUAGGGAUGGCAGUGGGCAGUCCUGGCAGAGGCUGCCGAACAUCAGGGUCAAGGGAGAGGCAGGAGCCCAGGCCUGGGAGUCCCCUUCAGUCAGAGUGGCUCACAAGGUUGAAGAGUGAGUUCAAGGUGAGAGCUGAGGCUGGAGAGGAUACUUGGGGCCCAAGAAAGACCUUGUAUUCCAUUCUGAGGGCAGUGGGGCUGCAGAGGGUUUGGGUAUUGCUGCUGCAUUAAACUCAAACAUCUCCCGGAUUUGGCUCCACCAAAUUUAUCCAAUCUUAAAUUCCCAAUAAUAACACAACCCACACCUUCUGCUCCAAGUAGGUGAAGUUCUUCACUGUGCCCUACAUAUGGCUGGAUUUCAAUCAAGAAACAUAUACCAAACGCCUGCUAUGUGUUAGACACCAACGUUGGCUCAGCGGAUCACAAGAUGAGUGAGACACAGCCCUGCCUCCGUGAGUGGGGCAAAGACCCCUCAACUUAAAUGGGCAAUACAAGGUGACGAGAGCUUCAACUGGCAGGGAGUAAUGGGGGACAAAGAGGAAUUCCCCUACUCUGCCUGAAGACUGCGGGAGGGGCCAGCCAGGGAAGUUUUCAUUGGAGAAGGUGCCAUCUGAGAUGCUUUUUAAAAAUGCAGAGGAUGCCCUGACAGCAUCCUGGGCACAGGUGAGAAAGUGUAAGGAGAGAGGCAUACAAAAAAGGCCUGGUCAGAACCUUCUGGAAGGUCAGUGUGGCAGGGGACACAAGGAGAGUGGCAGUGGCCAGAGUGGAAAGGGAUGCUGGGAAUUUGGACCGCGUCUGGUGGGCUGCGCGUGCCUUUGCUUAUUCUGAGCUCCAUAUUAUCCUUGGGCUUCCUUCCCUCUGCCUGGCCUGGUCCCUGACUGUUGUUUCUAAAUGCAGCUGAAGACUGAGUAGCUCCCUGAAGCCCUCUCUGCCUUUUCCAGCCCACACUGGCUGUCUUCUUUGAACUAGCAGAUGGUAGCACACCAUUUCACACUUAAUUGCUCUCUAAUUAUUUCACAGGUGCUGGGUUUGUCUCCGCCCCUAAAUCUGGAAGGUUCUGAAGGGCAGGAACAAUACCUCAAACGUGAGCUGGUCCCAUAGAGCUGAGCACACCAGAGGUGGUGGCCCACACGUUGGUGGCUGUAAAACCGGCGCCAGGAAUCGAGGAUGCUUGAGAUCUGACUGAAGAUUGAGGUCUGCCUUCUGCUUCUUUUCCACAAUAAGAGUGACACAAACACAUCUGGAUUCCAUAACCCUAUGUUCCCGUGAUUUCCUGUCUGAGUCUGUGAACACGCAGAGACACACGGACAGGCCUAUUUUGAUGUCAACUCUCGGCGAAGCCAAACUUCCCGGUGCAAGGAAAUCAACAAAGAAGGCGCUGAGAUGCUGGGCACAACUUCCUCAGAAGUUUUCCCUCCUUGGAAACAAAACCAAAAGCCUGGCAGGGUCGGCUGUGCAUUCAGACAACAGAAUCUAAAAGCUUCUUGCUUUGCUCAGAGCUAUAACACCCAAGGGGAUGAUCCCAUGCCAUCACUCAGGGUAGACGGAUCAGUCAGGCUCAUAUGCAUGGGUGCGGCCAUAGUGAUUAUUAAAAUAUGCUUGGUAAUAA